AUGCCUCUUCUGGAAGCUGUCAUCUUCUCUUCCCUCUGGGCAUUUGGUGUUUGUCAGCUGAAUUUGGAGCAACCUAAAAUAUCACUUUCCAGGAGAAGAAAUCAGAUUGCCUACAUAUCUUGUAAGGUGUCCUCUCGUUACUUUAACAGUGAUUAUAUACACUGGUACCAACAGAAACCUGGCCAGAAUAUAGAACAUCUAAUGUAUAUCAAAUCAACAACGGAACCUGCUCAGCAGAAAAUAGGUGAUAAUAUCAAACUCGAAGCCAGCAAAGACUCACGCACUUCCACUUCAAUUUUGAAAAUUAUUUACGUAGAUAAUGAAGAUGAGGCCAUAUACUACUGUGCCAGCUGGUUUUUUCAGUUUUAUUAUAGAAAAAUAUUCGGUGAUGGAACAAAGCUUAUUAUUACAGAUAAAAUAACUGGCUCAGCUUUUGCCCCUAAGCCCAGAGUUUUUCUUCCUUCAGUUGCUGAAACAAGCCACCAUGAAACUGGAACAUAUCUUUGUCUUCUUGAGGAUUUUUUCCCUGAUGUUAUUAAGAUAGAUUGGAAAGAAAAGAAUGGCAAAAACUUCCUGAAAUCACAGCAGGGAAGGACCAUAGCGACUGGUGACACGUACAUGAAAUUCAGCUGGCUGACUCCGUCUAAAACGUCACUAGAUAAAGAACACGUUUGUGUUGUCAAACACGAGUUUAAUGAAGGUGGGAAAGAUCAGGAGAUUCCUUUUCCGCCAAUAAAUAACGCCAAAGAGCAUGUGUCCAACACCAACCAUGAUACAAACACUGUGCUUGGAAAGGAAGGAAAAGAAGAUGGUUUUGAAGUGAUAAAAAAUGAAAGCGAGCCACUGCAGCUGCAGUUAGCAUACAUCUCUGCCUAUUACACCUACGUCCUCCUCCUUCUCAAGAGUAUGGUCUACUUUGCCAUCAUCGCCUUCAGUCUGCUCAGGACAGGCAUCUGCAGCAAUGGCAAGAGUCCCUAA